GGAGUUGGUAGGUUAGUGGUAAAGUGCAUGCUUUGAGUGUAUGAUGUCCUGGGUUCAAUCUCUAGCUUCUCCC
rnacentral:tRNA from 1 species